rnacentral:lncRNA from 1 species
UCUAGGAAGUGCGCUGGAGAAAUCCUUAGCUGUCAGCCAAGGUGGAGAGCUCUAUGAAGAGUGGCUGGAACUUAGAAACGGUUGCCUCUGCUGUUCAGUGAAGGACAAUGGCCUUAGAGCUAUUGAGAAUUUGAUGCAAAAGAAGGGGAAAUUUGAUUACAUACUGUUAGAGACCACUGGAUUGGCAGACCCAGGUAAGAAGUGAGGUUGUUAAUAACCAGAAUAUAGUUCUGUGAUAUACUGUAAAUAGAUGUAUUAGAGGAAUAUCUAACAUGAGGAUUAAAGCUUUUGUUAGUAUUAAACCAAAAACUUUUUUUGGUUUAAAAGAGGAAAAGUACUCGGUUGUCAUUUUCUUUGGCAGUUGAAUGAAUGAACGGAGUAUUUCUUGGUACUUUUAAGCUGUUAAUAGAAUUUGAAGUUUUAUUGAUUGACUUAGGAUUAUUUGUAAGAACAGAAGUUGUUAAAAAUAAGGACAUGUAGGAAGAGCAGAGACGUUCUACCUCUAAGUACAGUUGUCCCUUGGCAUCCAUGGGGUAUUAGUUCCGGAACCUCUGAGGAUACCAAAAUCUAUUAAUGUUCAAGUCCCUUACAUAAAAUGGUGUAGUAUUUGCCUAUAACCUAUGCACAUCCUCCCAUAUACUUUAAAUCAUCUGUAGAUUACUUAUAAUACCUAAUACAA